rnacentral:rRNA from 1 species
UAAUGGGUCAGCGACUUAUAUUCUGUAGCAAGGUUAACCGAAUAGGGGAGCCGAAGGGAAACCGAGUCUUAACUGGGCGUUAAGUUGCAGGGUAUAGACCCGAAACCCGGUGAUCUAGCCAUGGGCAGGUUGAAGGUUGGGUAACACUAACUGGAGGACCGAACCGACUAAUGUUGAAAAAUUAGCGGAUGACUUGUGGCUGGGGGUGAAAGGCCAAUCAAACCGGGAGAUAGCUGGUUCUCCCCGAAAGCUAUUUAGGUAGCGCCUCGUGAAUUCAUCUCCGGGGGUAGAGCACUGUUUCGGCAAGGGGGUCAUCCCGACUUACCAACCCGAUGCAAACUGCGAAUACCGGAGAAUGUUAUCACGGGAGACACACGGCGGGUGCUAACGUCCGUCGUGAAGAGGGAAACAACCCAGACCGCCAGCUAAGGUCCCAAAGUCAUGGUUAAGUGGGAAACGAUGUGGGAAGGCCCAGACAGCCAGGAUGUUGGCUUAGAAGCAGCCAUCAUUUAAAGAAAGCGUAAUAGCUCACUGGUCGAGUCGGCCUGCGCGGAAGAUGUAACGGGGCUAAACCAUGCACCGAAGCUGCGGCAGCGACACUAUGUGUUGUUGGGUAGGGGAGCGUUCUGUAAGCCUGUGAAGGUGGCCUGUGAGGGUUGCUGGAGGUAUCAGAAGUGCGAAUGCUGACAUAAGUAACGAUAAAGCGGGUGAAAAGCCCGCUCGCCGGAAGACCAAGGGUUCCUGUCCAACGUUAAUCGGGGCAGGGUGAGUCGACCCCUAAGGCGAGGCCGAAAGGCGUAGUCGAUGGGAAACAGGUUAAUAUUCCUGUACUUGGUGUUACUGCGAAGGGGGGACGGAGAAGGCUAUGUUGGCCGGGCGACGGUUGUCCCGGUUUAAGCGUGUAGGCUGGUUUUCCAGGCAAA